UCUUUAUUAGCUCUCACCUAUCUAUUUUUUCAAUUUGGAAAAUAUGUUUUUAGAUCUACUGUGCUCCAGGAGCUCCUCACAGCUCACUAAUAUCUUUCUAAGAACUUUCAGAAACAGGAAGUGACCUGUCUUGAUUUUGUUUUCUCUGAGGGUGCAGUGCCAAGGCAACAGAGUCCUUAUAUCUGGCAUGAAGAUUACCGAGAGCAAAAGUACCUUGAUGAACAUCAUUAUGAAAACCAGCACAGUCCAUUUGGAACAAAUAGUGAGACCUACUUCCACCAUCAUUGGCUAGUGAGUCCAACCUUCUCCAGCAGCGUGAGUCUGGUCUCAGCUCCAGCAGCUAUGAGCUCAGUCAAUACAUCAGAGAUGCCCCGGAGCGGGAUGAUCCCCCAGCUUCAGCAGCUUGGAGUCCAGUUCAGGCUGAGGAUGUCUCCUCAGCUGGUCCCAAAGCACCCAUGAAGUUCUACAUCCCUCAUGUUCCUGUGAGUUUCGGGCCAGGAGGUCAGCUGGUGCGUGUAGGUCCCAGCUCUCCCACUGACGGGCAAGCAGCCCUUGUUGAACUGCACAGCAUGGAGGUUAUUCUUAAUGAUUCCGAAGAGCAAGAGGAGAUG
rnacentral:lncRNA from 1 species